GACAGAGGAGCCAAGCGUUGUCCGGAUUGACUGGGCGUAAAGCGCACGCAGGCGGUCGCGCGCGUGGGGUGUGAAAUCUGGCCGCUUAACGGCCAGGCGCCAUCCCAUACGGCGCGACUGGAGUGAUGCAGAGGUCGAUGGAAUUGCCGGUGUAGUGGUGAAAUGCGUAGAGAUCGGCAGGAACACCAGUGGCGAAAGCGGCUCUCUGGUUCACACCUGACGCUGAGGGGCGGAAAGCGUGGGGAGCGAACGGG
rnacentral:rRNA from 1 species